rnacentral:rRNA from 1 species
UACGGGGGGAGCAAGCGUUGUUCGGAUUUACUGGGCGUAAAGGGCGCGUAGGCGGCCAGCACAAGUCAGUUGUGAAAUCUCCGAGCUUAACUCGGAACGGUCAACUGAUACUGUGCGGCUAGAGUGCGGAAGGGGCAACUGGAAUUCUUGGUGUAGCGGUGAAAUGCGUAGAUAUCAGGAAGAACACCAAUGGCGAAAGCAGCUCUCUGGGACGGUACUGACGCUGAGACGCGAAAGCGUGGGGAGCGAACAGG